AUGAACGCUGGCGGCGUGCCUAAUACAUGCAAGUCGAGCGCACAGACGAGGAGCUUGCUCCUCUGACGUUAGCGGCGGACGGGUGAGUAACACGUGGAUAACCUACCUAUAAGACUGGGAUAACUUCGGGAAACCGGAGCUAAUACCGGAUAACAUGUUGAACCGCAUGGUUCAACAGUGAAAGACGGUCUUGCUGUCACUUAUAGAUGGAUCCGCGCCGCAUUAGCUAGUUGGUAAGGUAACGGCUUACCAAGGCAACGAUGCGUAGCCGACCUGAGAGGGUGAUCGGCCACACUGGAACUGAGACACGGUCCAGACUCCUACGGGAGGCAGCAGUAGGGAAUCUUCCGCAAUGGGCGAAAGCCUGACGGAGCAACGCCGCGUGAGUGAAGAAGGUCUUCGGAUCGUAAAACUCUGUUAUUAGGGAAGAACAAAUGUGUAAGUAACUAUGCACGUCUUGACGGUACCUAAUCAGAAAGCCACGGCUAACUACGUG
rnacentral:rRNA from 1 species